CACUUCUCAUUCAGUCAACCCUCUCUCAGUAAAAGUCUAAUUUAUGCACAGGCACCGAUCAACUGUGACAUAAAAAUGCUACGAAAAAUUAUAAAAGAA